GAUCCUGACUCAGGACGAACGCUGGCGGCGCGCCUAACACAUGCAAGUCGAACGAGCGAGAGAGAGCUUGCUUUCUCAAGCGAGUGGCGAACGGGUGAGUAACGCGUGAGGAACCUGCCUCAAAGAGGGGGACAACAGUUGGAAACGACUGCUAAUACCGCAUAGGCCCACGACCCGGCAUCGGGUAGAGGGAAAAGGAGCAAUCCGCUUUGAGAUGGCCUCGCGUCCGAUUAGCUAGUUGGUG
rnacentral:rRNA from 1 species